GGGUUCUAACAGGAAUGACUCGAUUCCCAUAAGUAACUUGGAAUCGUUCACACAACCUGCUGCUAUUGAACUUCCAUAGGAAAAGUCUACCGACCAGCGCAAUCCAUCGACAUUAAAGAUGAGUUUGGAUAGGUAAAUAGGUGCGAUAUAAUGUAUUUAGUUUAUUUUUAUCUCAUAUUAUAAUAUUAUUAUAAUAUGUAAUUUUAUAAUUACCAUUAUUUUUACACUAAUUGAUAAGCGUACUGUCCAUCUAAAUUCACCUGCUUCUAAUUUGGUGAUAGAAAAAGCUUUGAAAACCAAGCUCAACAAGGAUAAUCAUUUGGCUGUGAUUUUUGUUGAAAAUCAAGACCGUAACUGACUAGAAGAUGCAUGGAGGAAUAAUAAAAAGCUGGAGGUGGUGUCGGGGAGGGUGUCUGGGAUAACUCUUAAUACGAAGGGGAUACCCAAACGUGGUAAAAAAAAUCAAUCUCCUUAAGGGGCAAGAGCAACAAAUUUAAGAGCCGAGGGUCUAGGCGACUACCUAUUUCGGAGGCAAUGAGCCGUAUUGUUGAUGAUAUUGAAAGAGUGGCUACCAAUUCCAUUUCGGAGGCAAAGGAGGGUAGCAAGCUGGUAAUGGAUGGUAUAUAACCACUCUGUGAGGUGGGGUUGCUUUUCUUACCAUUUUUGUCUAUGUUAUUGCCUAAGAUUUUUGUUUGGAACUGCCAAGGUUGUGCAAGUCCCAAAUUCAUCAAGGUGGUUAAUGACUAUUUUGUGGAACAUGAAGUUGUGAUAGCAGUUUUCCUUGAAACUUGGGUUAGUGGUCCUAAGGCGGAAAAAAUUAUUGCCAAGCUUGGUAUUGACUUUUCCUAUAGAGUCGAAGCACAGGGAUUUUCUGGGGGAGUUUGGGUCUGCUGGAGGAGUGGAAUUCAGAUUCAAGUGCUGAAUAAUAACCCCCAAUUUAUUCAUAGUUACAUUAAGAAUGAAAUGGAGGUUCAGGGUGCUUUUGUGACUUUCGUAUAUGGUAGUCCGGAUAAGCGAAAGCGUAGGGAUUUGUAGAAUUGUUUAAUUUUAAUUGCUCGUCCUGUUAAUGGGCCUUGGUUAUUGGUGGAAGACUUUAAUGCCUACUUAUCUUCGGGUGAAAAAAGAGGGGGACGAUCAGUGUCGUCGGGACGUAAAUGUUCCAAAGUUUUAUCCAGGUGGAUGGUCUUUAAGAUCUUGGAUUUAAGGGGCCUCAAUUUACUUGGAGAAGGGGGACUACAUUUGAGAGAUUGGAUAUGGCUUUUGGAAACUUUGAUUGGCUUCAAAUUUUUCCAGAUGUUUUAGUCUUUCACCUUCCUCGUUUGAAAUCAGACCACAGGUCGCUUUUGCUUUCAAAGGAUUCCUCUAUGGUCAAUAGACCAAGUCGGCCUUUCCGCUUUUUGGCCUCUUGGGUUCAACACUCAUCAUUCAGAAAUUUUGUUCGUGAGAAUUGGAAUUGUGGACAGGAGAUCUCUACCUGUGUCAGCAAUCUUUCCGUGGAGCUUCAAAAAUGGAAUAAGGAAGUGUAUGGGCACAUUGGCAGAAGGAAGCAAGCCUAGCCCGUCAUAUUGGAAAAAUCCAAGCCGCGCUUAAUAGAAAGUGUUCUAGAUUUCUUUUGGAUCUAGAAUUGAAGCUAAGAAUUGAGUAUGAAAAGGUCCUUGAUGAAGAAGAAUCUUUAUGUUGACAGAAAUCUAGAAUAGAAUGGAUCCAACAAAGGGAUUGUAAUAUGAAAUAUUUUCACACCAAGACUUUGAGAAGGAGGAACUUCAAUAAAAUUUAUGCUUUAAAGGUUGAUGGUGAUUGGUGUUUUGAUGACGAAGUUCUUCAACAUGAAGCAAUUUCAUUUUUCAAAUCAUUGUACUCUCUGAAUGACCAAAGGCAUGUGUUGUUUCCUUUGCGUGGGAUUUUUCCAAGGUUAGAUAUGGAGGGGUUGGAGGAUAUGGCUAGGGUUGUAACCGUUGAUGAGAUUCAUAUUCCUUUUUUUAGUAUGGGUCCACUAAAGGCCCUGAGAUCAGAUGGUUUUCAUGCCUUAUUCUACCAGAACCAGUGGAAGACGGUUGGCCAGGAUGUGUGCCCUUGGAUUCAGGAAAUAGUUGCAGGUGGUUCGGUUGAUUGUAAUGUCAACAAAACCUUGUUGGUCUUUAUCCCUAAAGUCAAAAGUCCGAAGUCCUUAUCCCAAUUUUGACCCAUUGCAAUAUUUUGUAUAAGAUUAUUACAAAGAUCAUUGCAAACCGUUUUAAGCUUGUGUGUCCUAGACUCAUUGCUCGGAACCAAGUCAGUUUUGUUGUAGGGAGGCAAAUUACUAACAAUAUUAUUAUUGCCCAAGAGGUCAAUCAUUCAAUGAGAACCAAGAGGGGCAGGAAAGGGUGGAUGGCAAUCAAAGUGGAUUUAGAAAAGGCUUACGAUAGACUGAGAUGGGACUUCAUCGAAGACACAUUGGUUGAUGCAGGUAUCCCUUUCUCUUUUGCUAGAAUCAUCAUGGAAUGCAUUUCUAUUGUAUCUAUGUAGAUUGUUUGGAAUGAAAGCCUUACAGAGGGGUUUAAGCCGAGGAGAGGAAUCCGUCAAGGGUGCCCCCUCUCCCCAUAUCUUUUUGUUCUAUGCAUGGAGAGAUUGGGUCAGCUUGUUCACAAAGAAGUCGAGGAUAAUUCUUAGAGGCCUAUAUUGAAUACAAAAAAUGGCCCAUCCUUAUCGCAUCUGUUCUUUGCUAAUGACCUUUUCUUGUUUAUGAAAGUGGAUGUGAAUCAAACACGGAUGGUGAGGAAAGUUCUUGAUGUUUUCGGAGCGGUUUCAGGUCACAAAGUGAAUGCUAACAAGAUGGAGGUUUUUUUCUCUAAAAAUGUUCGGCCACUUGAAAAAGAUGGUAUUUGUAGUAUCCUGAGAUUUAUUGAGACGAAUGAUUUUGGCUUUUUUUGGGCAUGCCAUUGUUGCAUCAAAGGGUUACAACUAGCAAGUUCAAGUUUAUAGUGGAAAAAAUCAGGAGGAAGUUGGACAGUUGGAAUGUUAAAAUGUUGUCCACGGCAGGGAGAGUUACUCUGGCACAUUUGGUUCUUAUGGCGAUACCAAAUUACUUUAUGCAAACUGUCAAAAUUCCUGUUAGUAUUUGUGCCGAGAUUGAAAGAAUUGCACAGGAUUUUAUUUGGGUAAGAGACACAGGAAGGCAUGGGAUAUCUUUUGUUAAAUGGUCAGACUACUGUCAACCUUUCAUCAACGGUGGUCUUGGCAUUCGGAAUCUUAAGGAGCAAAAUGAAUCCUUUUUGCUUAAGCUGGGAUUUAAUCUUCUUACUAGUAAGCAAGCAUUGUGGGUUAAGAUCCUUAGAGCCAAAUAAAAGGUUAUGGAGGUUUGCCCUGAAGAUAUUUCGAGAAGAUCGUGCUCUUUUGUUUGGAUAUCUUUGUCCAAAGUAUGGUCAAUCCUUCGUCAAACCUGGCUUGGUCAGUUGAGGAUGAAAGUCUUAUAAGGAUUUGCGCUGAUAAUUGUGUCGCAGAGAUUGGGCCAUUAAUAAACUUUCGUCACCAUAUGGAGAAUAUUGAUUUGAAUACAACCUUAAACGAGAUUCCAUUAACUGACUGUAGUUGGGAUUGGAAUUUUCUAAGCUUUUUUGUGGAUAAUAGCAUAUUGUCCUAUAUUGCGGUCAUUCCACCUCCUAAUCAUUUAUUAGGCAAUGAGGAACUGAUCUCUAGAUGGUCUGACCAUGGUCAACUUACUAUCAAAUCUGCUUAUCACUUUCUUACGCAUGAGUCUCAAUCCAGAAGACAACAUAUGGAAGCUCGCUUGGUCCUUUACUGGUCCCCAAAGAGUAAGACGAUUUCUUUGGUUGGUUCUUAAGGAAAGGUUGAAGAGUCUAUUAUUCAUGUCCUGUGAGAUUGUGUCUUUGCACGAGAAGUGUGGAGGCAGGUAAUCCCUUCAAGGAUUUGGGGAGAUUUUCUUUCUGCUCCAUUGGUGGAGUGGAUCUUGUUGAAUUUAAAAAAUGACUUUGGCUUGGCUUUUAUGAAAGUUAAAUGGCAGUCUUUCUUUGGAAUUAUUUGCUAGAAUCUUUGGAAGCAAAGAAAUUUGUGGGUGUUUUAAGGGGUAAGCUCAAAUAGCUCCCACAUUAUUCAUUUAACGUGGUGUUGAGUGAAUUCCAUUAAGUAUCAUCCUGCAAUAUCCGUGGGUGGUAUUAUGAAGCAACGAAGCGAUCAAGCUUGGAAUCCUCCUCCAGUGGGGUUCAUUAAGUUAAAUACAGAUGGAGCAAGGGAUCCUGCUUCGGGGGAUGCUUCAGCAGCGACUGUGGCUAGAGAUGAUAUUGGUUUAUGGUGUGGAGUUGGAAGAAACAUUGAGAAAUGCAGUGUUAUGCAGUCAGAACUUUGGGCAAUCUAUGGUGGACUCCAUUUGGCGUGGGAUAAUAAUUGGAUCAAUAUUAUAGUUGAAACAAACUGUGCGCAAGCUGUGGAAGUCAUUUUAGGAAUGCAAUUUUGGGCUAAAUAGAAGAAAAAGGAAACAAUUGGGCUAGAUUGAAGAAAGAAGCAAAGAAGGAGGGCCAAAGUAGAAUUUUUCCAAUAUUAAUUAGCUGAUAUUGUUGACUUAGUGGGAGAUUAUUUUGGGAUAUUUUUUAUAUUAUGAAAUAUUUUCCUUGAUUUUCUAUACUAGUUGGCUCUUAAUUUAGCAAGGCCACUAGUAUAAAUAGAGACUACAUUUGUUCAUUUUAAUCAUCAAUUCAUAAAUCAAUUUUCAUCUUUGAAUUCAA